AGGAGGACUCUCAACUCUGCAGCCCAAGCUUCCUGGGUUCAAGCCCAGGCUCUACCCCAUUCUAGCUGUAGGAACCUGGCCAACUCACUUAAUCUCUCGGAUCCUCAGUUUCCUCAUCUGCAAAGCGGGCAAACAAUGAUGAAUGCUUCAUAGAGCCAUUGGCGGAGCAAAGCCCCUGGCCCAUGCCAACUGCUCAGGAGGUGCAAUUCUGCAGGCAACAGAGGUCUGAAUGGGGCAGGGCAGGAUCUCUGCCUUAUUUUUUGAGGGUAAACCUUAUUUCAGAAGGGUAUUCUGUAUCUCAGAGAAUAGCAUUAGAUGAGGGGAGGAUGGGGAACUCGUGAUAUUGACCUUGGAGAAACCACCAGACCAGAGGAGCUAUUGCUUCAAUGCAAAGUGAGAGCCAGCAAAGGGAAGUGACAGUCUUCGUGAUUAAUUCACUGAAACCCUAAGUACCUCCCUAAGCCUUUCUGGAUCUGUGCUUCUUUAUCCUCCACGUACAGAUAAGGACACAUUUUGGUCAAUUUUGCAGGGUAACUGAGAGGAUAAAAUGCGUUAAUAAAUAUGGAAGAGCACUGGAUGAGAAGCAACUGUUGUUAAGCCUGGAGGUACAAUAGACGGUGACAGAUGGAUCUGGAUUUACAUAAAAUGACACAGACGCUGAUUUUCUGAAUAUUUUUGCUAAAAUCAACAACAG